GAGAAGAAUUCAAACCAUUUAUUGAAGUAUUCUAAUUACAGGUCUGAAGUGUGUGUUACACAUUUAAUGACUUUGUUUACUAGAUGUGUGUAUAUAUAUAUAAAUAAAAUGUUGGACUCCUGAAAUUGGUUUCCUGUUGUUUUCCCUGGUGGAGCCCAAGUGCUAUGCUGCAGCUGCACACAGAAUAAGGUGUCUUUAAAGAUAAAGCUGAAGCAUUGCUGCUAGAUGAGACAGUCCAGAUCUGCACUUACCUGAAGCAUCCUCCUCCUGCUCAGGAUCAGGCAGCUGUUCUCCAUCCAUAGCUGGCUCUAUAACCUGUUGAAUAAUGGCAUGAAACCCUCCUGUGACACCACCACCUUGGAGCACCUCCACAAACAAAUAUUACCUGGCUUGGUGAGGAAAGAACCUUCAGGAGCCCUGCAAAGGUCUCCUCACACAGCAGGGACAGAGAUGCACCUGCAUCGCAGGUCUCCUACCUUGCGGCCAUGGCUUUCCCCACUUCACUUGAAUCAUAGAAUCCCAGACUGGUUUGUAUUGGAAGGCGCCUUAAAGCUCCAUCCAGCUCCAACCCCCUGCCACAGGCAGGGACACCUUCCACUAGAGCAGGUUGCUCCAAGCCCCUGUGUCCAACCUGGCCUUGAACACUGCCAGGGAUGGGGCAGCCACAGCUUGAAGGGCUUGGAGCAACCUGCUCUAGUGGAAGGUGUCCCUGCCCAUGGCGGGGGGUUGGAACUGGAUGAGCUUUAAGUUCCCUUCCAACCCAAACCAGGCUGGGAUUCUGGGAUUUUAUGAUUAAAAUGUUAAACAGGACUGACCCACAGGAAAACACAUGAAGCAGCAUUGACCACCUUGUCCCCACACGCUUCCCUCCUGCUCCCUAUCCCUUCCCUGCAAGUGCUGCACAACCUCAUGGAGCCAGACAGACCUUCAGGCGCUUCCUUAGACGCAAGGACAGAAGGGAAUCUUUUCCUUGUCCUCCAUACAAAGCAAGAGAAAUCCUGCAGUUUGGUGAGUACAAGCCCCAAACACAACCAGGCAUGCGCUAACUCAAACUGCUGAACUGAAAGCAGUAAAACCAACCCCAUAUCCUAUUUACCUUCACCCAGUAAAGAAUGUGCAAACAAAAUCAAGCUCCCUCACCUCUUGGUGUCACAAUGACCUUUGUAUCAACGUCUCGGGUGAUGAUCAAACAGCUUAAGAGCGCUUAUCAGUAACUACAGCCAAGCUACACCCUGGGGCAGCGAACUGAAACCUCAGUCACACUGACCCCCCCACAGAGGGCAGCAGCAGCAGCCCGGCUCAUCCCUGUCCUGCAGCGCACCCCAGCAAGAGGGUUUGCUGCUCCUGGCCAACAGGAAGACACAUCAACAGCCACACGACCACCAGAACUGAGACACCACACAUGGGUCACAGCCCCACAGCACACCAAGCUGUACUCACUGCUGAAACAUGGGAAGAGAAAAACCCGUAAGUUCCUACUUGCUUCCUCUCUUCCAACUCAAUCCAAGGUGCAUUAUUGCUUGCAGCCCUGCAAACUUCAAUCCCAAAGGAGAAGCAACAGCCAUUGGGCUCCAGCCACAGCCCCACACAGCAGGACAGCCCCUUCACUGCUAGGAACAAAGCCCAGGCUGCUUUUAGUGAGAGCUUAGAAGACAAGAACAGCUCCAUUAGUUUACAUCCUCCUCCUAUUUUCACUGUCAGGUAUUUCACCUGUGAAAACAAUGUACAGAAGGAGAUGAACUACACCCAGACCAGCCUCUGGCAAGGCGGGGUGAAGCACCAUUCCCCAUAUCCACACAAAGCCACUCACACCAUCCGCAGGACUUUUUGCCAGGUCUCAGCUCUGCCAUUUCGGCUGGUUCCAAGGUUUGGUCUCCAGCCUGGUAACAGACAUCUCCCACCUGGGAAGACUGGCUCAGUGGCACUCAAAGGCAAAUGUUUCACUCAGACUGGGGCCAGAGAUCCAAGAAACAGAACUCCAUUUUCAUGCUGUCCGUACCCAAUCUGGCAAGAGGUUUCCAGCUGGGCAUCACAGACAAUUCAGGACCCCAAGUCAGCUGCACACAGCCAAAUUAGAUACCUAUUGCCAAAGAAAAGUAUUAAAAAACCCAAAAGGCCAAAAAAGCACUAUUAUGUCAUUCGCCCAUCUUUGCACAUCAAUCUUUAACAGACAACAGAACACUAGAGCACAUUUUCCCCUUGCUCUUCAUGUCGCUAGAUAAAUCACCACAGGGCUUCACAUAAAGUCCUAUUCCAAGAGACAAACAGCAUCAUUAGGACAACAAGCAAACCUGAAGUCUCCCAGUGAGGACAAAUUCACUGUUUUCCCCUCAGUCAGGUUACACCCCCCAGCAUGAACAUUACGUUUGGGUUUUCAAGUGCAGCACCCAGCACAGCAGAUAACUUGCUGACCAUGGCAUGGGGACACUGCGCUUGCUCCAACACACCCUGAGCCUGGGCAGGAGGCUGUUACCCAGCCAAGGGAGACCAGACCAGGGCACAUCCCA
ensembl:lncRNA